rnacentral:tmRNA from 1 species
GGGGAUGCUUAGGUUUCGACAGAAAUGUUUGAGUUUAAGUGGCAAGUCGUAAGUUAUACGAUACAUACAAACAAAAAAUAAUUGGAAACAAAAUUAAAAAUGCAUUAGCAACUUUAUUUGCUCCAAAAGCAAGUAGAUUAGCUUUAGCCUAAUAUAGAAUAAAGGCAUGCGCUUCUUCAUAAUUUUUUACCUAUUGGAAUUAUAAGAGGCUCGAUUUAAAUAGGGUAUAUUAUUAUUUUGCUUAAGAAUAAUAAUGAAUAAUUUUAAGCUUACUAAAUAAUGGGUUGUUCAUUACUAACAUUUUUUAGGAAUUUAAAUAAUGAACUAAACUUGUAGAGGCUUAGAUGUGAAUAUUUUUGGACAGGAGUUCGAUUCUCCUCAUCUCCACCA